rnacentral:rRNA from 1 species
CCUACGGGAGGCAGCAGUGGGGAAUAUUGCACAAUGGGGGAAACCCUGAUGCAGCGACGCCGCGUGAGUGAAGAAGUAUCUCGGUACGUAAAGCUCUAUCAGCAGGGAAGAAAAUGACGGUACCUGACUAAGAAGCCCCGGCAAACUACGUGCCAGAAGCCGCGGUAAUGCGGAGGAUGCGAUGGUUAUCCGGAUUUAUUGGGUUUAAAGGGUGCGUAGGCGGACUGUUAAGGCAGUGGUAAAAUCCCGGGGCUAAACCUCGGAGAGCCGUUGAAACUGGCUGUCUUGAGUUGACGAGAGGUAUGCGGAAUGCGCAGUGUAGCGGUGAAAUGCUUAGAUAUUGCGCAGAACUCCGAUUGCGAAGGCAGCAUAC